UUUACCCUGNUGGAUAAGCAUAAUCAAAUAGCGGGAGGAAAAGAAACCAACAGGGAUUGCCCCAGUAACGGCGAGUGAAGCGGCAACAGCUCAAAUUUGAAAUCUGGUCCCCCAGGGCCCGAGUUGUAAUUUGUAGAGGAUGCUUUUGGCGAGGCGCCUUCCGAGUUCCCUGGAACGGGACGCCACAGAGGGUGAGAGCCCCGUCUGGUCGGAUGCCAAGCCUAUGUAAAGCUCCUUUGACGAGUCGAGUAGUUUGGGAAUGCUGCUCAAAAUGGGAGAAAAUAUGUCUUCUAAAGCUAAAUACCGGCCAGAGACCGAUAGCGCACAAGUAGAGUGAUCGAAAGAUGAAAAGCACUUUGAAAAGAGGGUUAAAAAGUACGUGAAAUUGUUGAAAGGGAAGCGCCUAUGACCAGACUUGGGCCCGGUGAAUCAUCCAGCUGUUCUCGCUGGUGCACUUUGCCGGGCACAGGCCAGCAUCAGUUUGGCGCGGGGGACAAAGGCUUCGGGAAUGUGGCUCCCCUCGGGGAGUGUUAUAGCCCGUUGCGCAAUACCCUGCGCCGGACUGAGGUACGCGCUCCGCAAGGAUGCUGGCGUAAUGGUCAUCAGCGACCCGUCUGUAAACACGUACUCGAUU
rnacentral:rRNA from 1 species